GACGUAGGGCGCGAGCGUUGUCCGGAUUUAUUGGGCGUAAAGAGCUCGUAGGCGGCUUGUCGCGUCGAAUGUGAAAACUCGGGGCUCAACCCCGCGCUUGCAUUCGAUACGGGCAGGCUCGAGUUCGGUAGGGGAGACUGGAAUUCCUGGUGUAGCGGUGGAAUGCGCAGAUAUCAGGAGGAACACCGAUGGCGAAGGCAGAUCUCUGGGCCGUAACUGACGCUGAGGAGCGAAAGCGUGGGGAGCGAACAGG
rnacentral:rRNA from 1 species